rnacentral:rRNA from 1 species
UACGAAGGGUGCAAGCGUUAAUCGGAAUUACUGGGCGUAAAGCGCGCGUAGGUGGUUUGUUAAGUUGAAUGUGAAAGCCCCCGGGCGUCAACCUGGGAACGUGCAUCCAAAACCUAGGCGAAGCUAGAGUAUGGCAGAGGGUGGGUGGAAUUUCCUUGUGUAGCGGUGGAAAUAGCGUAGAUAUAGGAAGGAACACCAGUGGCGAAGGCGACCACCUGGGCGUAAUACUGACACUGAGGUGCGAAAGACGUGGGGAGGCAAACAAGGAUUAGAUACCCGGGUAGGU